GGGGGAUGAGAUCAAACGGUAGAGCGCUCGCUUAGCAAGCGGGAGGUAGAGGGAUCGAUGCCCACAUCCUCCA
rfam:Astyanax mexicanus Tnplaced_Scaffold_2646, whole genome shotgun sequence.